rnacentral:misc_RNA from 1 species
ACCCCGAUCCCAAGCACCAUGGAGCCGACGAUUUGGAUCAAGACCUACAUCCCAAGCACCAAGGUGCCUGGUUGAUAUGGAUCGCGAUCCCGAUCCGGAGCUCCAGGGCGCCGAGGAUUUCGAUCACGAUCCCGAUCUGAAGCACCGAGUAGCCGAGGAUAUGGAUCAAGACCCCGGUCCGAAGCGACAAGGAGGCAAGGAUUUGGAUCACCACUCCGAUCAAAGGCACCAAGGCGUCGAGGGAUUGGAUCGAGAUCCCGAUCCCAAUCAUGAUGUUGGCUAUGUAAUUUCCUGUUUUCCACGCCGUUCAGGGCAUUUUGGUGGUCGUAUCGGCUUUUAGUUGCUUGCUCGGUGUUAGUGCCAAGGGAGUGGUUGGAAGCUAGGUCGUCCUCUGGAAUGCUUGUUGUAAAGGUGUAUGAGUUGUGUUUGGCUUGUUACGGGUGUUUGUUGGCUGCUCGUGCAGGAACUUUCAUGCGUCCAAGCCUCUUCAGUUGUGCUACAAGGCCUUGUCUGUCUUGUGCAUACGGUGGGUUUCCUGUGUUGCAUACCUAAUCAAGGGCAUCGUAUGGCUUGAUCGAAGUAAAUAUUCGUAAUGCGCCGCUUGCGGCGUUGCACGAACCUCGAAGUGGUCUCUGUGGCCCAUGUUGUCUUUGCCCACGCAUGGAUGGCAUGGCCCUCGGAGCGUCGCUUGGUCUCUUGGAUACGGAACCUGAUGAUGUGGGCGGUAGGGUCUUGGAUGAUUCUACCUUCGC